GACGAACGCUGGCGGCGUGCUUAACACAUGCAAGUCGAACGGAAAGGCCCUGCUUUUGUGGGGUACUCGAGUGGCGAACGGGUGAGUAACACGUGGGUAACCUGCCCUUGACUUUGGGAUAACUUCAGGAAACUGGGGCUAAUACCGGAUAGGAGCUCCUGCUGCAUGGUGUGGGUUGGAAAGUUUCGGCUGUUGGAGGUGGACGCGCGGCUUAUCAGCGUGGUGGUGGGGUAGUGGCUUCCAAAGGCUUUGACGGAUAGCCGGCGUGAGAGGGUGAGCGGCCACAGUGGGUGUGAGACGGGGCCGAGUCUCCCACGGGGGGGAGGAGUGGAGAAUUGUGCACAAUGGGCGGACGUCAGAUGCAGAAACGGCGUGUGGGGGAACACGGCUUGCGGUGUGAACUCCGCUUGCUACGGAGACGGAGUGUUUGUGACGGUACUGGGUAAAGAAGCACCGGCUAACUACGUG
rnacentral:rRNA from 1 species